rfam:Roundleaf bat hepatitis B virus isolate RBHBV/GB09-301/Hip_rub/GAB/2009, complete genome.
UGUUCAUAUCCCACUGUUCAAGCCUCCAAGCUGUGCCUUGGCUGGCUUUGGGAUAUGGACA